GUGAGGUCAGCGAAUGAGACGUCUUGUACUUUUUCUUUUCUUUUUCUUUUGUAGAAAGGUCAUUAUUAGUGGAAUGAUGUUUUAUCCAUUUUUAAAAUUUACACUAUCCUUCUUUUGUUUGUUCAGUUGUGUCAGCGUGUACUUGGCGGUUAUGUGCCCCUAGUUUCAGUCGUCGAGCCCUUACCGACAGCUUUAGUAGUAAGGAUUAGGUUUUGCAUAAGUGACUUAGAGA
rnacentral:lncRNA from 1 species